UACGCAGGGUGCGAGCGUUGUCCGGAAUUAUUGGGCGUAAAGAGCUCGUAGGCGGCUUGUCGCGUCGGAUGUGAAAGCCCGGGGCUUAACUCCGGGUCUGCAUUCGAUACGGGCAGGCUAGAGUUCGGUAGGGGAGAUCGGAAUUCCUGGUGUAGCGGUGAAAUGCGCAGAUAUCAGGAGGAACACCGGUGGCGAAGGCGGAUCUCUGGGCCGAUACUGACGCUGAGGAGCGAAAGCGUGGGGAGCAAACAGG
rnacentral:rRNA from 1 species